GUGAGGAAUAUUGGUCAAUGGGCGGAAGCCUGAUCCAGCCAUGCCGCGUGUGUGAAGAAGGUCUUCGGAUUGUAAAGCACUUUAAGUUGGGAGGAAGGGCAGUAAGUUAAUACCUUGCUGUUUUGACGUUACCGACAGAAUAAGCACCGGCUAACUUCGUGCCAGCAGCCGCGGUAAUACGAAGGGUGCAAGCGUUAAUCGGAAUUACUGGGCGUAAAGCGCGCGUAGGUGGUUUUGUAAGUUGGAGGUGAAAUCCCCGGGCUCAACCUGGGAACUGCCUCCAAAACUGAAUGACUAGAGUACGGUAGAGGGUAGUGGAAUUUCCUGUGUAGCGGUGAAAUGCGUAGAUAUAGGAAGGAACACCAGUGGCGAAGGCGACUACCUGGACUGAUACUGACACUGAGGUGCGAAAGCGUGGGGAGCAAACAGGAUUAGAAACCCGGGUAGUCC
rnacentral:rRNA from 1 species